rnacentral:rRNA from 1 species
CCUACGGGAGGCAGCAGUGAGGAAUAUUGGUCAAUGGCCGAGAGGCUGAACCAGCCAUGCCGCGUGCGGGAGGACGGCCCUAUGGGUUGUAAACCGCUUUUGUUGGGGAGCAAUAAGGUCCACGUGUGGAUCGAUGAGAGUACCCAGCGAAUAAGCAUCGGCUAACUCCGUGCCAGCAGCCGCGGUAAU